rnacentral:rRNA from 1 species
GUAGGGAAUCUUCCGCAAUGGACGAAAGUCUGACGGAGCAACGCCGCGUGAGCGAAGAAGGUCUUCGGAUCGUAAAGCUCUGUUGUCAGGGAAGAACAAGUACCGUUCGAACAGGGUGGUACCUUGACGGUACCUGACGAGGAAGCCACGGCUAACUACGUGCCAGCAGCCGCGGUAAUACGUAGGUGGCAAGCGUUGUCCGGAAUUAUUGGGCGUAAAGCGCGCGCAGGCGGUUCCUUAAGUCUGAUGUGAAAUCUCGCGGCUCAACCGCGAGCGGCCAUUGGAAACUGGGGAACUUGAGUGCAGGAGAGGGGAGCGGAAUUCCACGUGUAGCGGUGAAAUGCGUAGAGAUGUGGAGGAACACCAGUGGCGAAGGCGGCUCUCUGGCCUGUAACUGACGCUGAGGCGCGAAAGCGUGGGGAGCGAACAGGAUUAGAAACCCCUGUAGUCC